rnacentral:rRNA from 1 species
UAAUACGUAGGUGGCGAGCGUUGUCCGGAUUUAUUGGGCGUAAAGCGCGCGCAGGUGGUUCCCUAAGUCCGGUGUGAAAUCUCCCGGCUCACCUGGGAGGGUGCGCUGGAGACUGGGGGACUGGAGGCAGGCAGAGGUCGGUGGAAUUCCCGGUGUAGUGGUGAAAUGCGUAGAGAUCGGGAGGAACACCAGUGGCGAAAGCGGCCGGCUGGGCCUGUCCUGACGCUGAGGCGCGAAAGCGUGGGGAGCGAACCGGAUUAGAUACCCGGGUAGUCCACGCGGUAAACGAUGGCCACUAGGUGUGGGGGGUAUCGACCCCCUCUGCGCCGCCGCUAACGCAUUAAGUGGCCCGCCUGGGGAGUACGGCCGCAAGGCUA